rnacentral:rRNA from 1 species
CCAGCACCCCGAGUGGUCGGGACGAUUAUUGGGCCUAAAGCAUCCGUAGCCGGUCAUGCAAGUCCUCCGUUAAAUCCACCUGCUUAACAGAUGGGCUGCGGAGGAUACUACAAGGCUAGGAGGCGGAAGAGGCAAGCGGUACUCAGUGGGUAGGGGUAAAAUCCUCUGACCCAUUGAAGACCACCAGUGGCGAAGGCGGCUUGCCAAUACGCGCUCGACGGUGAGGGAUGAAAGCUGGGGGAGCAAACCGGAUUAGAUACCCGGGUAGUCCCAGCUGUAAACGAUGCAGACUCGGUGAUGGGCCGGCUUUAUGCCGGCUCAGUGCCGCGGGGAAGCCGUUAAGUCUGCCGCCUGGGGAGUACGGUCGCAAGACUG